rnacentral:rRNA from 1 species
ACUCCUGCGGGAGGCAGCAGUGGGGAAUAUUGGACAAUGGGCGCAAGCCUGAUCCAGCCAUGCCGCGUGAGUGAUGAAGGCCCUAGGGUUGUAAAGCUCUUUCACCGGUGAAGAUAAUGACGGUAACCGGAGAAGAAGCCCCGGCUAACUUCGUGCCAGCAGCCGCGGUAAUACGAAGGGGGCUAGCGUUGUUCGGAUUUAUUGGGCGUAAAGCGCACGUAGGCGGACUAUUAAGUCAGGGGUGAAAUCCCGGGGCUCAACCCCGGAACUGCCUUUGAUACUGGUAGUCUUGAGUUCGAGAGAGGUGAGUGGAAUUCCGAGUGUAGAGGUGAAAUUCGUAGAUAUUCGGAGGAACACCAGUGGCGAAGGCGGCUCACUGGCUCGAUACUGACGCUGAGGUGCGAAAGCGUGGGGAGCAAACAGGAUUAGAUACCCCGGUAGUCCCA